CUGUGAGCUCGAUGAGUAGGGCGGGACACGUGGUAUCCUGUCUGAAUAUGGGGGGACCAUCCUCCAAGGCUAAAUACUCCUGACUGACCGAUAGUGAACCAGUACCGUGAGGGAAAGGCGAAAAGAACCCCGGCGAGGGGAGUGAAAAAGAACCUGAAACCGUGUACGUACAAGCAGUGGGAGCACGCUUCGGCGUGUGACUGCGUACCUUUUGUAUAAUGGGUCAGCGACUUAUAUUCUGUAGCAAGGUUAACCGAAUAGGGGAGCCGAAGGGAAACCGAGUCUUAACUGGGCGUUAAGUUGCAGGGUAUAGACCCGAAACCCGGUGAUCUAGCCAUGGGCAGGUUGAAGGUUGGGUAACACUAACUGGAGGACCGAACCGACUAAUGUUGAAAAAUUAGCGGAUGACUUGUGGCUGGGGGUGAAAGGCCAAUCAAACCGGGAGAUAGCUGGUUCUCCCCGAAAGCUAUUUAGGUAGCGCCUCGUGAAUUCAUCUCCGGGGGUAGAGCACUGUUUCGGCAAGGGGGUCAUCCCGACUUACCAACCCGAUGCAAACUGCGAAUACCGGAGAAUGUUAUCACGGGAGACACACGGCGGGUGCUAACGUCCGUCGUGAAGAGGGAAACAACCCAGACCGCCAGCUAAGGUCCCAAAGUCAUGGUUAAGUGGGAAACGAUGUGGGAAGGCCCAGACAGCCAGGAUGUUGGCUUAGAAGCAGCCAUCAUUUAAAGAAAGCGUAAUAGCUCACUGGUCGAGUCGGCCUGCGCGGAAGAUGUAACGGGGCUAAACCAUGCACCGAAGCUGCGGCAGCGACGCUUAUGCGUUGUUGGGUAGGGGAGCGUUCUGUAAGCCUGUGAAGGUGUACUGUGAGGUAUGCUGGAGGUAUCAGAAGUGCGAAUGCUGACAUAAGUAACGAUAAAGCGGGUGAAAAGCCCGCUCGCCGGAAGACCAAGGGUUCCUGUCCAACGUUAAUCGGGGCAGGGUGAGUCGACCCCUAAGGCGAGGCCGAAAGGCGUAGUCGAUGGGAAACAGGUUAAUAUUCCUGUACUUGGUGUUACUGCGAAGGGGGGACGGAGAAGGCUAUGUUGGCCGGGCGACGGUUGUCCCGGUUUAAGCGUGUAGGCUGGUUUUCCAGGCAAAUCCGGAAAACUAAGGCUGAGGCGUGAUGACGAGGCACUACGGUGCUGAAGCAACAAAUGCCCUGCUUCCAGGAAAAGCCUCUAAGCAUCAGGUAACAUCAAAUCGUACCCCAAACCGACACAGGUGGUCAGGUAGAGAAUACCAAGGCGCUUGAGAGAACUCGGGUGAAGGAACUAGGCAAAAUGGUGCCGUAACUUCGGGAGAAGGCACGCUGAUAUGUAGGUGAAGUCCCUCGCGGAUGGAGCUGAAAUCAGUCGAAGAUACCAGCUGGCUGCAACUGUUUAUUAAAAACACAGCACUGUGCAAACACGAAAGUGGACGUAUACGGUGUGACGCCUGCCCGGUGCCGGAAGGUUAAUUGAUGGGGUUAGCGGUAACGCGAAGCUCUUGAUCGAAGCCCCGGUAAACGGCGGCCGUAACUAUAACGGUCCUAAGGUAGCGAAAUUCCUUGUCGGGUAAGUUCCGACCUGCACGAAUGGCGUAAUGAUGGCCAGGCUGUCUCCACCCGAGACUCAGUGAAAUUGAACUCGCUGUGAAGAUGCAGUGUACCCGCGGCAAGACGGAAAGACCCCGUGAACCUUUACUAUAGCUUGACACUGAACAUUGAGCCUUGAUGUGUAGGAUAGGUGGGAGGCUUUGAAGUGUGGACGCCAGUCUGCAUGGAGCCGACCUUGAAAUACCACCCUUUAAUGUUUGAUGUUCUAACGUUGGCCCCUGAUCGGGGUUGCGGACAGUGUCUGGUGGGUAGUUUGACUGGGGCGGUCUCCUCCUAAAGAGUAACGGAGGAGCACGAAGGUUGGCUAAUCCUGGUCGGACAUCAGGAGGUUAGUGCAAUGGCAUAAGCCAGCUUGACUGCGAGCGUGACGGCGCGAGCAGGUGCGAAAGCAGGUCAUAGUGAUCCGGUGGUUCUGAAUGGAAGGGCCAUCGCUCAACGGAUAAAAGGUACUCCGGGGAUAACAGGCUGAUACCGCCCAAGAGUUCAUAUCGACGGCGGUGUUUGGCACCUCGAUGUCGGCUCAUCACAUCCUGGGGCUGAAGUAGGUCCCAAGGGUAUGGCUGUUCGCCAUUUAAAGUGGUACGCGAGCUGGGUUUAGAACGUCGUGAGACAGUUCGGUCCCUAUCUGCCGUGGGCGCUGGAGAACUGAGGGGGGCUGCUCCUAGUACGAGAGGACCGGAGUGGACGCAUCACUGGUGUUCGGGUUGUCAUGCCAAUGGCACUGCCCGGUAGCUAAAUGCGGAAGAGAUAAGUGCUGAAAGCAUCUAAGCACGAAACUUGCCCCGAGAUGAGUUCUCCCUGACUCCCUGAGAGUCCUGAAGGAACGUUGAAGACGACGACGUUGAUAGGCCGGGUGUGUAAGCGCAGCGAUGCGUUGAGCUAACCGGUACUAAUGAACCGUGAGGCUUAACCUU
rnacentral:rRNA from 1 species